rnacentral:rRNA from 1 species
AGCAAUUAUACAGCGAAACUGCGAAUGGCUCAUUAAAUCAGUUAUCGUUUAUUUGAUAGUACCUUCCUACUUGGAUAACCGUGGUAAUUCUAGAGCUAAUACAUGCUAAAAAUCCCGACUUCGGAAGGGAUGUAUUUAUUAGAUACAGAACCAAUGCCCUCCGGGGCUCUCUGGUGAAUCAUAAUAACUCCGCGGAUCGCACGGCCUUGCGCUGGCGAUGGUUCAUUCAAAUUUCUGCCCUAUCAACUUUCGACGGCUGGGUAUUGGCCAGCCGUGGUGACAACGGGUAACGGAGGGUUAGGGCUCGACCCCGGAGAAGGAGCCCGAGUAACAGCUACUACAUCCAAGGAAGGCAGCAGGCGCGCAAAUUACCCAAUCCCGACUCGGGGAGGUAGUGACAAUAAAUACUGGUCCAGGGCUCUUUUGGGUCUUGGAACUGGAAUGAGUACAAUUUAAAUCCCUUAACGAGGAACAAUUGGAGGGCAAGUCUGGUGCCAGCAGCCGCGGUAAUUCCAGCUCCAAUAGCGUAUAUUAAAGUUGUUGAGGUUAAAAAGCUCGUAGUUGAACCUUGGGCCUGGCUGGCCGGUCCGCCUCACCGCGUGCACUGGUCCGGCCGGGUCUUUCCCUCUGGGGAACCGCAUGCCCUUUACUGGGUGUGUCGGGGAACCAGGACUUUUACUGUGAACAAAUCAGAUCGCUCAAAGAAGGCACUCGCUCGAAUGCAUUAGCAUGGAAUAAUAGAAUAGGACGUGUGGUUCUAUUUUGUUGGUUUCUAGGACCGCCGUAAUGAUUAAUAGGGACAGUCGGGGGCAUCAGUAUUCAAUUGUCAGAGGUGAAAUUCU